UACCAGCUCUCCGAGUGGUGUGGAUGUUUAUUUGGCCUAAAGCAUCCGUAGCUGGCUGGGCAAGUCCCCUGUUAAAUCCACCGACUUAAUCGUUGGAAUGCGGGGGAUACUGUUCGGCUAGGGGACGGGAGAGGCAGACGGUAUUUUCGGGGUAGGGGUGAAAUCCUAUAAUCCCGGGAAGACCACCAGUGGCGAAGGCUGUCUGCUAGAACGCGCCCGACGGUGAGGGAUGAAAGCUGGGGGAGCGAACCAGAUUAGAUACCCGGGUAGUCCCAGCUGUAAACGAUGCAGGCUAGGUGUUUGGGCGGCUACGUGCCGCUCUAGUGCCGCAGGGAAGCCGUUAAGCCUGCCGCCUGGGGAGUACGGCCGCAAGGCUAGAAACCUAAAGGAAUUGGCGGGGGAGCACCACAAGGCGUGAAGCUUGCGGUUC
rnacentral:rRNA from 1 species